rnacentral:antisense_RNA from 1 species
GGAAGGGAGGAAGCGUAGAAGGUGCCGAUGCACUUUUCCUCUCUCCAGACUUCCUGACUGCUCCAAGAAUUUCAUCGAACAAGACUCAAAGAGGCCCAGCUGCUCUGCGUUUUGAUUCUUCUCCCUCUCUCAGUCCACACUGACCUGGGAGGGGCUUCUCAAACACCACAUUUCCUAGCAUGCUGUGAGAAGAGGACUGUGAGCUAAAAAGGGAGAAAAGGGUGUAUAGUAUGAGAAGACUUAAGAGAUGGGUAGAGAAAAACUAAAAAGCAUCCAGAGAGCCAAAUAAAAACACAGACAAACCAACCAACCAAGCACUGACGAGCCAGUAAAGAGGGAACUGUGGAGGAAUCAGGGCUGAGAGAAUCUCUGAUACAGCAGCGGAAAUAGGCACUCCCUUCCUCAUCAACAAACACCUGACCUGGGUAGACCCUCUGCUUACCAAGAUCCAGUCCACCUUUUGACAUCAGCAUUCAUGCUGCCUCUUUUUACGAACCAAGCCAAAGUGGUCCCUUCCUCUGGAAAUUAUAGGGUACUUAAUGUACCUCAUAUCCAGCUUCCCAACUCCAGACUGUGGGAGAUGACAUCGAGUCAGCCUGCCUGGAUGUGACUCAGCUCUGCAACUUAUUAAAGACCUUUGGCAAA